CAUAGAGUAGGCGGUCUCCCUAGUUUUAGCUUCCUCAAUGGAAAUUACCGAAGCAAAACACUUGACAUUCAAUCACCUUCUCGGGGGUGACAGACAAAAGAAUGUAACGUAAUUGGGGCGUGAUUUUGCUUUCCCAUGCUUUAGUUGUUUUUACGGGGGUAAAAACAGUCAGCCUUGCAGAAGGAAUACUCGAUGCAUUGUCUGAUACCUCAACAUUCUCAAAAAUGGAACUACACAAUUCCACCACAUGUCCCAGUUUGCGAGAUUGUGCCCUCGUUAAACACUAGCAGGAAAAACAUGGAGAAAUGCUUGAACCAAUUUAUCAUCUGCAGUUUUGAUUUCUGGAUUGUCUACUACUUCUAACACAGGAGUUACGUUACCACCAGCUAUAUUGUUCCCUAGUAGCAAUGGGACUCCUUUUACAGACAGUGUUGACACUACACCAACACGGAAACGUCCUGAUACCAAGUCUGACACUAAGUGGACCCAGUGUAAUGGUACAGAGAGCUGAGUUGCUAUGGGAACAGGAACUGUAUGUUCCAUUUUGUUACUCUGCAUCUGCCCCUACUGCCACACCUCCCUGCAAAUGACUGCCAGGUGAGCCUGAACUUUGCAGCUGAGGCAGAGAGGUUCUGUGCAGCCUUGGAGAGACAGAUCCAACAAGCCCCGGAUUUGGAUAGCAACACACACACGCACGUCACAUCACAUUUAUAAUUAGUUCUCUCAGCUUCAGGCAGGCCAGUCCUCUUCUCUUUCUCCCCUCUUCCCCGAUCUCGCUGUCUCACGUCACUCUUUCUCAUUUUCUCCCCAUAACACUUUAUUUUACUCUUUAUCUCUUGCUGUCUCUCUUCCUCUCCCUCUCUUUCUCAAACAGAGCUAGUGGGCAGACUCAGCUGAACCGUACUGACAGUGUGGACUCUGCCUCAGGCUGUUUGUGUGAACAGGAACAGAGCAGAUCUGGGAUCAGCACUCCAUCUCCAGAUGUGUCAGAACGAGAAAUAUAUAGGCCAACAUCAGCACACUGGAGCUCAGACAGACCCAGAUAAUUCAUUAUUAGAUACAUUUUAUGAUGCUGCAUUAGAAUGGAAGAAAAUAUAAAUGGCUUGUCUGACUGAUUUAAUCUUGUCUCUUAUCCAGACGGUAGUCCCAGGUGGGAGUGGGCCCAGAGCAAGGCCUCAGUUCUAGUGAGCUGGACCCUGCUCGGAGGAAGCUGCUCAGGAAGGCGGGGCUAAACGAGGAGGAUAUGAAGGACAGACACACCCUCCUCCUAGAGGGGCACACCCUGAGAUGAUCAGAAAGAGCUUUCGAUCAGUGAGAGAAUAUGACUGUGGCAUGUCAAUGACAGUUGUGGACAAUUUCCAAUACAUGGUGAAUUUGAUGUGUGGUUAGUACAAUGGUGUCUGUGUGCACGUAUGAUAGGUGGGCUCACCUUCUGCUGUAGUCUGAACUGAUCUGUAUCUCUCUCUAUCUCAUCUCAUCCACAGUCUGUGACGCAGUGGUGACCUGUCAUUCAGGGCAGAGCCCCACCUGUUAAGCUUUUUGUUGCCUGUUUUUCAUGUUAUUUUGGCAUUAAUACAUGUCACACAUGUUUGCAAACAAUGUAAAAUAAUCAUUGAGUUAAUAAAGCUACAAACAAA